rnacentral:rRNA from 1 species
UACGUAGGGGGCAAGCGUUAUCCGGAAUUACUGGGUGUAAAGGGUGCGUAGGUGGUAUGGCAAGUCAGAAGUGAAAACCCAGGGCUUAACUCUGGGACUGCUUUUGAAACUGUCAGACUGGAGUGCAGGAGAGGUAAGCGGAAUUCCUAGUGUAGCGGUGAAAUGCGUAGAUAUUAGGAGGAACAUCAGUGGCGAAGGCGGCUUACUGGACUGAAACUGACACUGAGGCACGAAAGCGUGGGGAGCAAAC